rnacentral:rRNA from 1 species
GUCCACGGCCAUACCACCCUGAAAGCACCCAGUCUCAUCUAAUCUUGGCAGCAAAGCAGGGUCAGGCCUCGUUAGUACUUGGAUGGGAGAGCUGGCAGAGCCGCUUAUG